ACUCCCCUGAGCCUGGAUCCUGUCUCCCAGGAGCUGGAUUAAAGCCUGGUUGUCCCAAAGUUAUCUCCUGCUGGGCCAGUGGUGUCAAAGGAGGAGGAUCCACACCCUCAAGAGCUCCUCCAGUGUUCCCUUGCCCUCCCUGCUGGGAAAUUGCACUGAAUUUUGAGACUUACCUGACUUGAACUUCCAGGCAUUGCAUCUCAUCAUGUAGCUGUCAAAAUCCUUGGAAGUGCCCUGGGACCCAGGAUGUUUCCAUGCUGGAGGUGUCUGGACAUCUUGGGAUCUCUUAAGCACCUCUUCAACAAACUGAACAAGCUGAGCUGAGUGAGGAGUUUUUCCAACUGUGUUUCUGGAAUCCUUUGGAAUGCUCCCUGGAGCGUCCCCUCCCUGUGUGGACACCACAGAUCUCCUGGAAAAGCUCUGAAAAUGCAGAGCUAUGGUGAGCUCUGCACAGGGGCUCUCUGAGCCUCUGUGUGAAAUGUUGGAGGGGUUUGGGUUUCUUUACAUGGAGUCAUGUAAAUGUGGGUAAAAGAAGGAGAAAAAUGGAAGGUAAGAGAGGGAGCAAAUGCAAAGGGUCAGGGAAAAACCAGUUCUUGUCUCUGCUUGGCUGAAUGUUCACUUACUCCGGCGUCUUUAGUCUUGUAGCAGUGGUGCUUUCUGAAGUCAUUUCUCACAUCAUAAGUAGCUGCAAUUUGCAUUCCUGCUUCCCAGAGGUGAUAUCUUGCAUUUGGUUGCAUCAGACUUCAUUUUCCCACAGUGCUGUACCCAGGCCCUGCAGAUCAGGGUGAGCAGCUUGUGGUCAGGGGAGCACAUGUGGCUGAGCAGAGUACCCCAUGUGCUCUGUUACCCUGUCCAACCACGGAGGGAUGAUUAUCCUCCUGAAUCCGUGCUUGGGCACGUGGAUCAGGGGGCCCUCGACUGGGGUAGACCCUGUUGACACCUGAUAGGAUGGGGUGAGAAAAAUGUAUUUAGUGGCUCUAUAAGGGGCCAUGAAUCCUGCCCCUGGUAUCUGAUCUCAUUUAACCUCCAGUGCAACCCUCCCUGUUCUCAUCGUUACUUACUGUGUGACCCCUCUUUCUGCUGUCUAUAAAUGUUCCCAGCAAAGAGAAUCACUCCAGCAAAUGGUGGAUAAAAUGCUGAAUGAUGUGGCCAGAGAGCAGAGCAUUGGAAUUGAUCUAAACUGCCUGGAUGUCCCUGCUGAUCCUGGAGCAAAAGCUUUUUGUGGAUGUUUUCAGGCUAAGAGAGGCCAUAAAGUUUUCAGGGUAUCCCAGGUAGUGGCAGAGUGAUUCAAUCAGUCUCUCUUAUCAGAUUCUCACUUAUCUUUCCCUUCCCUUCUCCAGCAGGGUAGGAAAUGCCUUCUCUGAAAGGCUGGACAGGCACUGCUGGGGUGGAGAGCUGCAGCCUUUAAUAGAGUAAGCAGAUACCAGACUAUGAGGAUUCUUCUCCAUGGAGGAUUUCCAAGACACCAGCCUCUGAAAUUCUCCUGGCUGCUGCUCCUCUUGGAGAGGAGUCAGUCCCUUGUCACUGGAGAGACAUCUGCCAACCUGAGCACACAGAGGGAGGCUGAGGCAUUUGUGUCCUGGGGACCCUCCAGUGCUGCCCUGCAUAUCCUCUGGCACGGAACACAUGGCCCAUGGCCUGGGAACCUCUGAGCACUCUCUGAAGGAGGUUGGACUUGGUGACUUCGGUGUCCUGUGCUAAUCCAGGAUCCUCCUGCUCCCACUAGAGCACCAGCAGCAGCAUUGCAGUGA